rnacentral:rRNA from 1 species
UGGGACUGAGACACGGCCCAGAUUCCUACGGGAGGCAGCAGUGGGAAUUUGCACAAUGGCGCAAGCCUGAUGCAGCGACGCCGCGUGAGGGAUGACGGCCUUCGGGUUGUAAACCUCUUUCAGCAGGGAGAAGCGAAAGUGACGGUACCUGCAGAAGAAGCGCCGGCUAACUACGUGCCAGCAGCCGCGGUAAUACGUAGGGCGCGAGCGUUGUCCGGAAUUAUUGGGCGUAAAGAGCUUGUAGGCGGUUUGUCGCGUCUGCUGUGAAAGCCCGGGGCUUAACCCCGGGUUUGCAGUGGGUACGGGCAGACUAGAGUGCAGUAGGGGAGACUGGAAUUCCUGGUGUAGCGGUGAAAUGCGCAGAUAUCAGGAGGAACACCAAUGGCGAAGGCAGGUCUCUGGGCUGUAACUGACGCUGAGAAGCGAAAGCAUGGGGAGCGAACAGGAUUAGAUACCCUGGUAGUCCAUGCCGUAAACGUUGGGCACUAGGUGUGGGGAACAUUCCACGUUUUCCGCGCCGUAGCUAACGCAUUAAGUGCCCCGCCUGGGGAGUACGGCCGCAAGGCUAAAACUCAAAGAAAUUGACGGGGGCCCGCACAAGCGGCGGAGCAUGCGGAUUAAUUCGAUGCAACGCGAAGAACCUUACCAAGGCUUGACAUAUACUAGACCGCUCUAGAGAUAGAGUUUCCCUUUUAGGGCUGGUAUACAGGUGGUGCAUGGUUGUCGUCAGCUCGUGUCGUGAGAUGUUGGGUUAAGUCCCGCAACGAGCGCAACCCUCGUUCUAUGUUGCCAGCACGUAAUGGUGGGGACUCAUAGGAGACUGCCGGGGUCAACUCGGAGGAAGGUGGGGAUGACGUCAAAUCAUCAUGCCCCUUAUGUCUUGGGCUUCACGCAUGCUACAAUGGCCGGUACAAAGGGUUGCGAUACUGUGAGGUUGAGCUAAUCCCAAAAAGCCGGUCUCAGUUCGGAUUGGGGUCUGCAACUCGACCCCAUGAAGUCGGAGUCGCUAGUAAUCGCAGAUCAGCAACGCUGCGGUGAAUACGUUCCCGGGCCUUGUACACACCGCCCGUCAAGUCACGAAAGUUGGUAACACCCGAAGCCGAUGGCCUAACCCCUUGUGGGAGGGAGUCGUCGAAGG